rnacentral:lncRNA from 1 species
AGAAGAAGCCUAUUAACGUGAGUAUAAAAAACAUAUAGUUGAUAACCCUUAGGCUUUGUUUGCGAGUUUGGAGGGCAAGGGAGGGAAAGGCUUGGGAAAAAAAGGAAUGAGCAAGUGGAAGAAAUAAAUGAAAAUGGGAGAGGAGGGCUUUGGGGGGUUAACUUUUCUUCAUGAUACAAAACCCUCCUCAUUUGGAGGAACUAAAAAAUUGUAUUGGAGGAGGAUUUUGGGGGGUUUUGGAGGGUUAAUAAGAAUUUUUCAAAAUUAAUCUAUGUUGCUAUAAUAUUUUUAAAAUUAAAAAUAAAGUAAUCAUAUGCAUUAAAUUAUCAUUCUCUAAAAAACUACUUUUUAAAAUUUUUUGAAAGAUUUCUCUAUUUUUCCUCAUAUUUUGCACCCCUCAAAGCCUUACCUUUCCUUCCCCUCCAAACUACCAAACAAAGCCUUAGAAAAUUAUUGAAGGAAGAUACUACAGUAAAGAACAUCCCAUAAUUUUAAACAGGGCAUGGAAGUGUAACGUUCCUUGCGAGUUUUAGCAAGAAUUUAGUGAAAGUAAUGAGUAACUAAACGCAUAAGUAAACCUUACUUUUACGCUCAGUUUGGAGCGAAAAAAAACAAACUGAAAAUUUGGACGGAAAAAGGAAAGCACAAAACUCGAAAAAAUCCUCCGUCGCUUGGCGUCCCGUAACAGUGAGCAAGGAAGGAAAAAUGUUUUGUGGCCCUCACAAAAUACACCUCUCUCAGAAGGAGGAAAACAGCCGGCAAAUAAUUUCGUUUUCUUUCUCUGAUUUGAACUGUCUUUUUGUUAUAUUUUAGUAUUUGGAAGGUAUUUUUGUACAAUCAAGCAAGAUAACAAAAAAGUUAUAACUUUCUUUCCUUUUGUUUCCUCUUCUACCAAACAACUAAGCAAUCAUCUUAUUUUCUACUCUUUUUCCUUUUCGGAAGCUAAAGGAGUUUUUGGCUCAAGUAUGUAACUACACCCGCUAUAAAUAUCUUAUAAAUUGAUGUUUUGUACAAAAGAACGUUAGUGCCAUUUAAUUUCAUAAUAUAUUGCACAUCAAUAUGAAAUUAAAAACAGGGAGCAGAAAGCCGGGGAUUAUGAACAUACUGCAACGUUGACACCCAUGCUCGAGCUGCACCAGGAGUCUCUGCGCAUAGGAAGUAAUCCUUUUUCUGUGGUGUCCCGAUAUCUAAAUGAGGAAGUUAAGAUGCAACGAAAAAAGUACUUUUGAUACAUACAUUACCAGUAUAUGAUCUGUACGAUCAGAAAGUUAUAAGAAUAUAAAAUGACAAAAAAGGAUACAAAUGCAGCAUCCGUCAUACUUCGGUAGCCCACUGUGAUACACGGAGAUAAAUCAAAUUAAUAUAAAACAAUCAAAUCAAAAAGUAGACAUUCAUGAAUCAUAUUAGAAACACCAUCCUUACUUGAAAUUCACAGGAGAUACAGUAAUGGUGCUAUUUGCAUCAAAUAGAAUAGUUCCCUUAACAGUUGGCUCAUUUCUUCUUAACCUAAAAAUCAAAGAAAAAUAACAGCACAGAUGAUCAGCAUCCAAAAUGUUACUACUUUUCCAUACACAAAAAUAAUAUAUGAAGCUUAUUUAUAUAUAAACCUACUUGUAUUCCAUUUUCCCAGUUGUUGGAUCCAAGAUCACCCAACGUUCGUUCCAUUUCCUCAGCUGUCACCAUAAAAAUAACAAAUUUUUCACAUAAGCUAGCUAACAUUCAAGGGAAAAUUCAAAGAGCGUAGCAUUUUAUCCUAAGAACAUCAAAACAAGAUUGGAUACUCAAAGGAUCACAAACUAUGAAGCAUGACAGGGACACUAACACAUCACAACUGAUAAUAAUUCGUAAAAAUGACAUAAUUCAAUGUAAUCACGUGUGUUGGUAUCUUAUGCUGACACAUGUCGGACACUAAGUGUCGAUGCUUCAGAGAUCACAAAACCCACAACACAUUUGAAUUACAAGGUAAUCAUAAUUCCAAUAACACAAUAAAAAUUGAAACUCGAAGAUUAAUAAUAUGAAAAGGGGCAAUCUUAGUAAUUAAACAAAAAUAACACAAUAUUGAAUAUUGAUCAACAAAGUGAUUAAUUAAUCAAAAAAAGGAGGAUAAGUUAAUUACAGUUUCGGAUCUCUUAAGAAGUGGACCCUGCAACAGGUUUCUACCAGAAGCAGAAGCUAGCUGACGCUUGAUCUUCUCCAAACUAUUCUCUGUGUUUUCAACAGCACGCUGUGACAUUGCAAAUUCAGCUCAGUUUUAACAGCGUUCGAAGAGAGAGAGGGAGAGAGAGGGAGAGAGAGAGAGAGUACCGGAGAAGCCAUGAGGCGUAGAUCAACAACUCUUGUCGGAAGCUUCAAAGUUUCAAACCCAACAAAGGGUUUUUGUUUUUGUUUUUGGAUGAUACUAUGUUUCUUCAGAUUUGCUUCUUGUUCUGUUUUUUGUUUUUUUUAAUGUGGUUGAAUAUAAAUACUAUAUUAUUUGAGACAAUAAAUUAUUUUCAAAAAUUAAAUGAAAAUAAAUAAAUUAUUAAUUUAAUUUAAUAUAAUGGGAAAGAUCGAGGGGAAGAAGACUUGUUGGUAAUUUAAUCUGCGCUGACUAGUAGUUGCUUGCACUUUGCUUGAUGGUGUGUGAUUGUCUUGAUUGCUUGGUAGAACAAUAAUUAUAUUUUUUACUAUAAGAAAUGAAAAUCAAUUCAUGUUUAUUAUGAAAACUAAAAAUUAAGGUAUAAUUUUGUGUUUUCUCCUUGAAGUAAAUUUUACGGAAAUAUGUAAAAAUAUUAUCUAUUGAUUAUGGAGAAGAAUAGAAGGAUGACAAAUCAAAAGCGAUUUGUAUUUAAUUUCACUUUAUAAAAGAUCAUUUUUUUAAACAACAACAUAACUAAAUAGGAUAAAAGUUUGUAUUUUUUUCUUAUAAUCUAAUAUUAUAAAGAAAAUAACCAUUUUUUACUCUUUUGGACUAUCCUUUUCUCUUUCUCAAAUACCCUCCAAUUUAAAUGCAAAUAGCACGUAUAUAGAUAAGAGUAAAUUCUUGUCAAAAAAAGAAAAAUAGAUAAAAGUAAAUUCAAAUACUAAAAAGACUUAAAUGCACUUUUGAUUCCCUAAUUUUAACUUAAUUGGAAUUUUAGUCCCUUUAUUUUUAAACUGUUAUUUUGGUCCCUAUUUUAGAUUAGUUGGAAAUUUUUUAGUCCUCCAUUAAUUUGUGAUUUGUCUGGCACUCUCAAUAAUGACGCGACAGUGAUGUGGUAUGUGUAUGUUUGAUUAUUCAUAUUCCAUGUUAUUUUCCAAAAUAGUUUAAAAUACAUAAUAAAAAACUAAUUAAUCUAAAAGAAGCCCCAAAUUACGCUUUGCCCCAAAUCAGUCGGAUUUAGAAACCAAAAAAAAAAACAUAUAACAACCAAAAUAAAUUGCAUUGUAUAACAGCAUCAUGAGUUUGCCGACGGUUUGGAUAAUUGGCAGAAAGUGUUAUUACAUAAGGAAAAACACAUUGGUGCGAUCAUUGUAACAAAUCAAUCACGUUUAAAUCACUUAUUAAUAGUUAAUUUGACAACAAUUGAGUGAUUUUACUACAUUCAAAAUCCUACUGCAAAUAAAUUUUGCAGCAAGUUCAAAGUUCUUGAGGAUACGCCUGCACACAAUUGCAAAUACAUGUAUUAUCCCAAAACAUAAAAGCCAAAUUAAAUCGUUGACAUUGUUCGCACGAGGAUGAGGGUGGUGAUGAUCACGUUUAAGGGGAAAGAGGGAGAGGAUGAAGCAGAAUAUCAAAGAGGGUCGCAUUUAUUUAUCGAAGAGGAUUCAAACACAAAGCUUCUCCUUAAAAUUGAAGAAAUCUUUUACCAUUUCUUCAAGUGUUUUUGGGUUGUGACUUAAUAUUUUAAUUUACAUCUUGGUAUGAGAUUAUACGAAAAUAUUUUCUCUAUACAACUAAGUGCGUCGCAAACUCCGGUGAAAAUCUUAAGAAUUUAUAGUAUGAAAAAAGUUUAAUGGAUGUUAAACAGGGUCGUGAUAGAUGACAAAAUACUUCCUCGAAAUAUUUAACAAUGUUGGAUUCGAACAUAAAGCUUCUCGUUAAAUUUGAAGAAAUCUUUUACCAUUUCUUCAAGUGUUUUUGGGUUGUGACUUAAUAUUUUAAUUUACAUCUUGGUAUGAGAUUAUACGAAAAUAUUUUCUCUAUACAACUAAGUGCGUCGCAAACUCCGGUGAAAAUCUUAAGAAUUUAUAGUAUGAAAAAAGUUUAAUGGAUGUUAAACAGGGUCGUGAUAGAUGACAAAAUACUUCCUCGAAAUAUUUAACAAUGUUGGAUUCGAACAUAAAGCUUCUCGUUAAAUUUGAAGAAAUCUUUUACCAUUUCUUCAAGUGUUUUUGGGUUGUGACUUAAUAUUUUAAUUUACAUCUUGGUAUGAGAUUAUAAGAAAAUAAUUUCUCUAUACAACUAAGUGCGUCGCAAACUCCAGUAAAAAUUUUAAGAAUAUAUAGUAUGAAAUUUUUUUUAUGAAUACAAGUAAAUAGAGAUGAUAAUAAUAGAGAGAAGGAGAAGAAGAGAGAAUAAGAGCAGUAUUCUUAUUCACUGAUGUGUAUAUCAAUGUUAUAAAUGAGCUCUAUUUAUAAGGAAAUAUAGUAGCUUAUGAAUUAAGCCCAAUAACCUAGUAGUAUGGUCCACUAACACAUUUGUUAUUUGGACAUCCACUAUUAAUAUUUAUAACAUAAUGGAUGUUAACCGAGAGAAAGAAGAAUGAUCAUGUUCAUAAAGUGAUUGCAAAACACCAUAUCUAUCAAUAAUGUGGAUUUAAAAAUUACAAAGAUAUUAGAAUAACCCAUAAGAAAUUCAAUUGCAAAAUCUUAAAAGAUAAUUAUGAAAAGCAUUAUGGUAUCCCUCGAUUAAACAAAUUUGAUGAAAUUGCCAGAUAAUCAAAUAGGUGGUUAAAGAAUGAUAUAUUAACUGCAUAUAUUGUAUUGCAAGUUGGUGAUUGAGAUUCGCCAAGAUGUUAUGUCCUUUGAUUUAGAUUUGUGCAUCUGUUUUAUAUAGGUCAAAUAUUGAACUCAUUUGUAAAUGAAAUCAAAAGUUUUGAUUUUAUUUUAAAAGAAAACCUUAAACAACAAAAUUCCCAUAAACAUAAAACAUAUAUUGUCGUCGGGUAAGCUCUCACAUUUCUACACCAAUAAUUUACUUCUAUUUAGUUCGAUGUAUCAAUUACUUACUUCGAUUUUGUCAUUUGAAAUUAUUAUUGUGUUUUUUAAAAUCGUGGUAUUUUCAUCACCUUGUCGUUAGAUUAAUCUAAUUACCAGUAAUUAUUGUUUAGAGAGGUUAAAAUAAAUGCAGAUUAAGAGUAUCUAGAUUCCAAAUACUAUUCUCAGAAAAAUUGCAUUCAAUAAAGAAAAAAUCUUCAGACUUGAGUGAUAUUUAAAACAAUAAGAAAUUUUGACCCUCGUUAAUAUUGAAACAUCCCUUAAAAAUGAUGUUUGACGGAUGUUUGAUAUUACAGGUGGAGUAAGCUGCUAGUAAUUCAUUUUAUAAGGUAGACAACAAAGUUAGAAAAAAUUUAAAGACGUUACUUUGAAAGAACAAUUUAUUGUUGUGAUAUUAUAAUAUAAUAAAUCAAGAGUUGUGAUUAAAUUUGACUCAUAGGAGAGAAAAUUUGAUUUGAAUGAACUAAAUGUUGAGUCUUGUCAUUUGGUUCACCAUCCCUAAUAACUAUGUUGAUUCAUUAUUGUUUAUCAGAGUCUUCAAAUUUUUCACAGCCUACCCUGAAACAGAAAACAUUGAAUAUGAUAGUAAGAUAUGGAACUAAUAAAGUCAAAUGAAGCAAUUUGACAGUAAAUCACUUACAUUUAACAUCUUGACGCCGCACUAAGUGCGACUUUACCCAUUUAGGCAGUGGCCAGAAAACCUAUGUGGGGUUAUGUUCGAAAAACAAUACAUGUCACGAUACUAAUAUCAUAUAGCCAUGCACCUCAAAGCAUAACAUUCUUCAAAGAAAUUACAAUCAAAUCUAUAAAAAGUUAAAGCCAUUUUUUAAGUUGUAAUCAUUACGAAGUCACAAUGAUUUACACAUGAACACUAGUCGGUCACUUUCAAAACUUAAAUUCAUUCUGAAUAACUGAUGUAGUAUUUUUCUAUCAAUCAAAAGUAAGUAUUGUAUAUCGUCUCCAUAUAGACUAGCGCGAUAUUCAAGCCAUUCAACAAUCAAUAUUGUUCUAAGUGUAUGGAUUUAAAAUAUUUGUUUGUGUAAACCUAUAAUAACAACUGCAAUCUCAUGAUCAAACAACGAAUUCUAACUUUUUAAACGGUAUUAUCACAAUCACUCAACAACAUCAUUUGUGUCCAAAUGAUGUCGUGAUUUCUAAUGGACUAUUCAAAAGUCGAUUUCCCAAACUAUUAAACAAUCAGAAAGUCAAUCGGAUCGUUCAAUCGACGAUUUCCCAAUCUAUUAAACGACCCAAAACCAUUAAGUUCUUGAUUACAAAGUGAUUAUCAAAGAUUAAAUCCUAUGUCUAGAAUUAAAACUUAGAUAGAUUAUUAUUUUAACCCUAGAUUCAAAAGUAUUUGUCAAUAACAUUUCAAAUCUCAAAUAAAGCUUUAAAUGCAAGAAUAAUAAGAAGAUUGAAUAAAUAAGCUAGAACCAUAUAUUAAAAGAUCAAGAGUUUACAUAAUGACUUGUUUGAAUACCUCAAAACCCACAAGGGUAGAUGUAGCUACAUAUGUCUUUGCAAGCUUGACAAAGGAUGAAAGAAAGAUGAAGAUUUCAUGCCUAGAUUCAUGAUGUCUCAACAAAUCUUUUGUAGAAUCUACUCCUAACACCUUACGUUGUGUUUCUCUCUAGAAAUGUCAUCUUUCUCCAAGAAACCAAAAAUCUCCAAAAAUGUGAUACCUGUACAAGAAAAGCAUGAUUCUGUUUGUCUCCAAAAAAUGUAUAUGUCCUUUGUUACUGUGCGGCUUCUCUUAUUAUCAUAGCAUGAUGCCCUCCUUUUGCUUCUUCUCUCCGGUCAAUAAAUAAACUUUGGGUCAAAAGCCCAAUUGCUUCAAUCUCCCACCAUGUGUUUGCAUUUUCCUUUUUAUUAUUCACAUCAGCUCAUGACACACAGGCCAGGUGUGACACAUCCACUGGCGGAGCCAGAAAAUUUAUGGAGCUCGGGCAAAAAAUUAAUCUUAAAUUCACAUGUGAUAUAAUAUAUAAACAGUCAUAAAUCGAAAUAUUUUUUUUUAUUUUUUUUCCUAAAAGAAAUCGAAAUAAAAGAGGUUUAUCAUUUUGUCAACAAAAAUACAAUUUAAAAUAGGGUUAUUAAUUGAAAUUGACCACGUAAUAUACGUGAAGUCUGAAAAUUGACCCUGUAAUUAAAUAACAUGUAUUCUAACCAUGUAAUUCGAGAUUUUUGUUAUUUAUAACAUGUAAUAUACGCGAAGUCCAAAAAAGCAACCGAGAGAUUGAAUUUUUUCAUGAUUUCCUAGAGGCGAGUUAAGAACGUUAAAAUAUGGCUUUAACAAUAAAAUUAUAAAUUUUCAACAAACGACAAAUUAAUUAUGAAUUUUUAUAAGUGUCAAAAGCUCAAAAAACAAAACAAUGAAAAUCUCAAUCUAUAAAUCGAAUUUUGAGCUCAUUAUUUGCAGAGACAUCUAUAAAAAUACAUAAAAAGGAUCUAUAAAGUUUCAUAGCAUUUCGAAGUCGUUUAAAUUUAUUUUGAUUUUUUAACUGAAACGUGCAAAAUUGAAAUUUUGUUCCGCGUAAGUGUAUACUCACAAGUGAUCAAAUUUAGUUCCCUAAUUUUGUAGGCAUGACUAGAACAUGAUAAGAACCUUCACAAUGAAAUUUUGUAAUUUUUAAACGAGAUACAAAUUAAUUAUAAAUUGUUUAAUAAAUUCAUAAUUAUGAGGGAAUAAAAAUUCAUAAUUAAUUUAUCCAUGGUCGAAGAAAUUUAAUUUUGUGUAAAGCUAUAUUUUAACGUGAAAAGAUUCAACUUGUAGGUCACAUUUUUAGACUACACGUAUAUUAUAGGGUGAUCAAAAUUAAAUAAGAAGAAAUUCAAGUUACAAUGCUAGAAUAUAUGUUUUGUAUUUUAUUAGGUUAUUUUUCAAACAUAAAGUAUAUUACAGGGUCAAGUUGAACAAUUAACCCGUUAAAAUAAGAGACAUGAACCCGUCAAUAGUGUGCUAAAUAAAAUUCCAAGACCUAUUUGCGUGUGACAAUUUUCAGAUUGCCCAAAUUUUUCUUUUUGUAAAUGUGUUAAUGAGCUUUUGGGUUGAGUCUAAUGUGCAAAAAUUAUCAAUCGAGCCCGAACGACCGUCUGGGGUCGCCAUAUAGUAGAACCGCCCAUGGACACAUCAAUGUAAUUUACAUAAGCACAAUCAAUUUUAUUUUCUUUGCUCCUAUGACUACUAACUAUAAUAAUAAUAAUAAAAUAAACUAAUUGACUCAAUUCAUAAAUAAAACAACAAUUUAUUUAAAAUGACUAUAAAUGAAAUAUUAAACUAAUAAAAUAGACUAAAAAUUUAAUUAAAAAGACUCUAAAAAUGUGAUAUAACGGACAGUCAUCACUAACACAUGAAUCAUGAAAGGUACAUCGACAAAAAUGAUGUGAUUUUUGUCAAGAUUAGAUAGAAGAAGAUGGUCUAUUCAUUAGUUAUUUUUAUUGAGUCAUGUUUUGUUUUUCUUUCUGUUUUUUUUUUCUUCCAUAAUGAAUUUAGGUUUUGAUAGUGACUAACUAGUGUUCAUGUGUUAAUCAUUGCGAUUUCAACUUUUCAUUGUAAUAAUUACAACUUAAAAAAUGACUUAGCUUUUUUAUAGAUUUGAUUGUAAUUUCUUUGAAGAAUGUUAUGCUUUGAGGUGCAUGACUAUAUAGUAUUAGAUAGGGCUGGACAGCGGCCGAUUCUGAUCGGGGUUCGAUCCCAAAAUCCAGAACCGGCCGGACCGACGAAGAAGAAAUAAAUAAGCUUCACUCAUACUAAAAGUCGAAGAACGGUAGUAAAAUACACCGUCUUCAUCUUUCUCUUUUUUAUGACUUCAUCCUCCUCUUUUAUUUCACUUCAUCAUCAUCCUCUAUGUCAUCAUAAUCAUUUGUAGUUGCUUCAUGAGAUCAACCACUACUUCUCCACUAUAAAAUAUGCAAUCUGGUCUCCAUUCUUCAACUUUUCUUUAUCGCAUGAGGUGUUGAACCAAUUGAAAAAACCAUAGGAGGUAAGACUCACUUCAAAUGUAUUGUUGUCCUCGUCACUCUUUAGGAACAAUGUCGGGAAUAUUUACUUUCCCGUCUAUAGGCGUAGAUUCAGUUGAUGUUAAAUCUCCCAUGUGAAAGUUAAAACGCUUUGGAAUGUGUUUAUUGGAAAAAUAUUCAUUUUCAAUGAAAUCAAAUAUGAUCGUAAAUCUUAAUUUUGAAUCUGAAUCGUAUUCAACCUCAAUAAAAGUGAGAUGGUUCUACAAAAUAACAGAAUUUGUGUCAUUCAACUCACGUCCAAAGAUUAAAUAAGCCUUAAACACGUUAAACCAUAGUUCAGCUAAGAGCUUAAUUUGUUUCUUGCAUUUGUCACAAUGUGUUUUUGGUUUUUGAAUGAAAUCAUGUUCUAUUCUUUUGUUGCAAUCUUCUCCUCCGGGAGAGUCUUGUUAUAUUCGUGUUGAUUUUGCAUCAUCACUCUUUCAUAAAUCCUUCCCUUUUCAAAACUCAAAUUUUUGGAGGCGAAUCGCUGAGCAACCUUGUUUUCUUCAUCAUCUUCCAUUUGCAAAGCGAUCUUCUUUCUUUCAUCAAAGUCUUCCAUUUUCGAAGACCGAAGGCUGAGUCGGCGCAUGUAAGGCUACUGUCAAUAGAAGACAAUGAAUAAGGUAAAUAUCAGCUAUCAAAAUCCUUGUGUUUUAUAGACUGAAUUGUGCAAGAAAAAAUUCAAAAUCAUGCAAUAAUCAAGUUUGUGUGUAGAACCAGAAUGGUAGUUGCAAGGAGAGGAUUUAGUAUUUAAUGUUUGGGUUGUAUAAAUAAAACCUUGAAUGUGUGUCAUAUAUGUUUAAGUAGUAAUAUCUUAUAAUAGAAUAUAUAAUAGAUUUUGUGCUUUUCAUGAUUUAUAGUUAUGUUUAUGAAAAUAAUUGAUUGGUCUUAAUUUUGGUUAAUGGUUCACAGGAACAAAAACAUUUAAAAAACUUAUGAAUUCUACGACUUCCCUUUGUUUGUUUUUUAUCAUCAACGCAUGCACUUAGUAGAUAUGGUUUGGUUAGUUCCAGUUUAUCCUUAACCAAUUUGUUUCAAUUUAUGAAGAAAUGAAACAUUAUAUUGAGGAAUCAAGGUCCAACCGCAAACAAUACUACUGUUGUAUAUCCUAACAAAUGCAUCAAACUUAAUAGCCUGAUUGCUGCUUAAGUAAUGUCUUUUUAACACCAAAAAGUGUCCUCAAACCCACACCUCAAGUAUCAAUGGGUGCGAAACAUAGAGAAAAGAUAACAAAAAUUUAAUAAGAUAAACUAGAAAUCACAUUAAGUUCUCUAUUUGAAACUAGAAAUGCCACAUACUAAAAAGUGUGGCUUUAUUUCUCAUAUCAUAAGCUUUAUAUACUAUUCUUCUGCAUUGUGUUGACUAAAUUAUAUUUAUGUAUAGCAUACAUUAUUGCAGUAAAAAAAAGCAGACUGACGUAUACGAGAGUGACAUCUGAAUGUUUGUGUCCGUCUGAACACUAGUUUCUAUAAUGUUGAUAUCUAACAUAUGUCGAUUGGACCAAACAAAUGGGCUGAAAGGAAUCUGAAUAGCAAAUACUGUCUUGAAAUUUGAAUUAUUUUAAUCUCAUUUCCAUAAAUAAAAAUAAGAGCAGUGCUAUAUAGCACGAUGCCCUUUCCCCACGAAUUUGCACGACAUGCAUAAACAACACACAAUUUGCUUUAUUAUUAAGCUUGGAAUACUGAUGCUAAUUAUCCUUUUAAAAAUACAACAAUAAACUAAAUAUACUAAAACAAAAAAGCAAGCAUAAUCCAAACAAUGUUGCUACGAUCACCGUCAAAGUUGGUAUAUCACUACAGUUCAAAUAGUGUUUUCUCCAAUGAGAUAAAGAUUAAAGUUUAAACAAUUGAAGAGUUUUUUUAAAUAUAUUUUAUUAUAGGAUUGAUUUUUAGUAGCAAACAACACCACUAAAAGAGACACGUUUUUCUCUCAAAAAAAAAAAAAAAAAGAGACACGUUUUGUGUUUUCUCAUCAAAUAAGAGAGAAAAAAGUUGCCGUGCAUCACGCACGAAAAAAACUAUCGUGCAUUACAUCAUUAUUCUAAAAAUAAUAAUGUUUGCACAUUCUGAUGGCACAAAAGAUUAAAAGAGAAUAAUUUUAUUAUUAUAUUACAAGGUGGAAUUCUUGCAAAAGAAAAAGAAAAAGAAAUAGAGCUCCCGAUUAUUAUUACAAAAUUUACAAGGUUAUAUUCUAAAAAAAAUCUUUAUUCAACCUUAAAAAAACAUUUAUUAAAAAUUGAUUUUCACUUUUUUAUUUUUGAAAGAAGAAAAAUAAUUUUGACUCUUGAAUUUUAAACCAAGAGGCAUAUAAAUAUUUUUCCCGGUUAGCGUCGUUACCCACAGUUUUCGUUUUCAUUUUCAUUUUCAUUUUGAGAGUGAGAAAACGAAGUACAAAAUUCAAACCCUAGAAAGCACCUCCAAGUACAGUUUCAGUUGCAUUGUUCUCGUUCUGUCAUUUCAUCGAACAGAUAGCAGGCAAAACACAAAGAGCAAUAGAAAACUGAGAAUCAAUGUCUGUGAUGUUGAAACAACCAGGCGCAUUUACAAUAACUCCACACAAAGUAUCACUCUGUAUACUCCUCAAGAUCUACGCUCCUCCAGGUCAAGUUUCCGUUCCUUUUCCGUUCGAAUCUGUUGCUCAACACAAUCGCCUCGGGUUGUUCAUCUUAGCUCUUACCAAGGUAUCUUCGAUUUCAUCACCAAUUGUUAUUCCACUGUAUUCUAUGUUUUGUAGCUCUUACCAAUUGUUAUUCCACUGAUGCAUCACAAACACAUGUGAUUUCAUUGAAUUUUGUUGUAUUUUCAAAUGAUUAUCAGUAUCCAUGUGUCAGUUGUGGUGUUUGUGUCAUGUCUGAAUUAGUUCUUCAUCCAAACAGACAUGUCGAUCCUGAUAAUUUGAAAAUUUAACAUAAUUCAAUGAAAUCACGUGUGUGGGUGUUGCAUCAGUGUUGAACACUGACACAUGUCAGACCGGAACAUGCCUUCGAUCAGAAGUGUUGGUGUUACAAAGCUAAUAAUGUUUAUUCUAUUGUAUUAUAUUAUAUGCUUGUGAUGUGACUCUUGUGCAGUCAUGUGAUGAUAUUUUGGAGCCAAAAUUGGAAGAACUCAUUAGUCAAUUGAGAUUGAUAAGCCAAAACUGGGAAGCAACUUGGCUAAUUGAUCAGUUGAUUAGUAGACUGUCAUGUCUCUCAUCACCUGAUGAUUUGUUUAAUUUUUUCACCGAUAUACGAGGUUAGUUUAUCGGCAUUGUUUUUACAAGCUCAAUUUUGAUUAAUUUGUUUCGUUUUCUAUUUUAACUUGCUAGUUGCAAUGUAGUUGGUUAUUUUUGUGUUUAUUGAUAUGAAAAUGUUGUUGUUUAGGAAUAAUUGGAGGUCCCGAUUCAGGUGAUAUCGAAGCUGAUCAGGUUAUUUUGGAUGCGAACAGUAAUUUGGGGAUAUUUCUUCGACGUUGUAUACUUGCUUUCAAUUUGCUACCGUUUGAGGUAUGGCGUUUUCCUACUUUCCUUUUGUGACCAGUAUAUUUUAAGACCGUUAUACAAAUUAGUGAAAUGUUGGAGAAGGUGUAAUGCAGCAGUAGGUUUAGUAAGUGCGUGUUAGUCCACUUUUAUUUGAGCAUUGUUUUAUCUUCAUUCUGUUCUCACGGUUCUGUUAUUCGGUUCUCUUUUUCUUAUCUACUGCACUUUUACUUGAGCAAUUUGUUAGUUUUGCUCUGUUCUCAUGGUCCUGUUAUUUUGUUAUUCUCUUUUCUCCACUAGUUCAGAUUUGUUUGAGCAUUUCAACUUUGCCACUCUCUUGUUUCUCCAUUUUUGUCAGCUUUUGUUUUAUUUAUUGAUUUGUUCAUUGCGUCUCUCUCUGUGUGUGCGUGUGUGUGUAUAUGCGUGUGUGUGUAAAUACACACACACACACACACACAUUAUGGGUAGAUUUUUGGCUUUCCUCCAUGAACCGCAUCUGCCAUUAAUAACAUGUUCCCAACAAAGAAAAUAUUUUACUUUUUCUGUCUCAUAUGCCCAGUUUAUAUUUACUCAUUUUACUUUUAUUCUUCAUAGCGAAAUUGUAUCAUCUGUGUAAUCAUUAAUUUAAAUGUCCAGGGUGUAUGCCGUCUCUUAACAAACAUAGGGAUCUAUUGUAAAGAAGAAUUCUCAAGUAUUCCUCCAUACGAAGAAACUAGUUUAGAUGGUUCUAGUAGUAAUCUCGAGACGUAUUCAGAAUAUGAGAACAUGGACUUGGAGAACUUUUUCUAUGAUAAGGUUUCAGAAGAAAUUGAAGCAAGAAAGGAGGCCAGUGGAAGAGUUCCGUUUCAUCUUCAUACACCUAAUGCACUUCUGAGUUUAGUAGAUGGUAUAAACAGGAUCCCUUCUUUAGUGUUGUAUGUAAUUCUGAAAGCACUAGGAAGUUCUAAAAAUCUGGAUUUUUUAAAGUAACAAAAUCCCAAUUUUCUGCUCAGACUGUUAUUUUUCCCCAACUUCACUUUUGGUUUUCUCUAUUUAUGGCUUUGCUUUUUGUCUUGCUGAUUGACACAAUUAUGGAACUCACACGCAGAUAUUGAUGUGCCUGCUGAUUCAGCAUCAAAACAGAGUGAUAAAUUAAGAGUAGGUAGUCCAUAUGAAGACCGCCAUAGUAACAUGGUACGGGAUAUUGAUCCCAGUGGUGCAGUAUUUUUGCGCACAAACUGGCAGAUACAAGGCUACUUACAAGAACAUGCUGAUACAAUUGAAAAGUGAGCAACUUGAAGUUCUGAAAUUAUAUGAUUUUUUAAACAUACUUUUAACUGUAUGGUUGUAUAUGUUAUUUUCAAAUUUUAUGCAUUUUGCAGAAAUGGUAGUGCCGUUUCUUUGAAUGGGUUCGAAAUUGUUCUGCGACAGCUACAGAAAUUGGCACCCGAACUGCAUCGAGUAAGUUUAGGGGGUAAAUUUGGAUAACAUUUAUUAAACCUGCUUUUCUUUUCUAGAUUUCCCUGAAGUUUAAUGCUCGAGUUUCACCUCUAUGCAGGUUCACUUUUUGAGCUACUUGAAUGCUCUUUCUCAUGAUGAUUAUACUGCUGCUUUGGAAAAUCUUCAUUGCUAUUUUGAUUACAGGUAAUUGAACAGUUAGUUAUAUAUCUAAUAUCUGUUGCCUGUUUUAUGUUACCAAAGCCCUCGUCACCCUGCCAGCAUUCCAUUUUUUUUUUACUUUUUCUACAAUCUCUUUCUCUUGAAUUCAAUUUUACUUUAUAGUUUCCAGUUUAUGUUUUUGAAAAUUUAAUUGUAAAUUCUUAGUAUUAAACUUCCUGAUGAAUUUUCGGUCGGUCAACAUAUGUUUGCAGACAUGUCUGAUCAAUGAUCAUAGCUCACUGUUGAUAUUAUGUCUAUUUGAUUUAUGAUUCCUAGUAAUCUACUGUAAAAUCAUAAAUAUAAGAGUAAAUUACUCUCCCUUCCCUUGAAAGAUAAUGAUAUUACAACCCCCUCACCUCAUGUUUCAAAACAUACACAACCCUCCCUUCAAAGGUGCUGAAUUAUAUAUUUUGAUCCAAAAUGACCUUUUUUUGUCCAAUUCAUCUAUCGGUUUUCUUAGCCAUCAAAGGAGAUCGAUUGCUCUUGUCCCAAGCUUUUGAAGUAGGUCUCCGUAUAAUCCACCCAUCAUUUCGAAGCUCCAACACAAACACAACAAUAGUAGCAAAGUGCACUAUCUUUUCAACAAAACUUGUUAAAAAUUAAGAGAAUAUAUUAACAUCAAAUACGAUGAUGGAUAACGGGAUGAAAUCUCCACAAUGGAAUGGGGAAGAUAGAAAAUAUGACAGUGAAAAAAGAUUGGACAAAGGUCAUUUUGGUAUAAUAAUUUUUUUUUAACAGGGUUAAAUGGAAGUUAUCGGAAAAAUAUAAAUUCGGAUGAAAAUAUAUAAUUUUGCAUCUUUGAAGGGAAGGUUGUGUAUGUUUUGAAAUAUGAGGGGAGGGGGUUGUAAUAUCACUAUAUUUGAAGGGAGGGGAGGGUAAUUUGAGUGAGUAAGGAAACAAUACAAAUAAAUUAUGUAGAAAAUGAGUUGUUGCCUAGGAAUUAAGUACCUUCUGUUAAAAGAAUUCUGUUUCUUUGUUGUCUUCCACGUGAUUAUGGGAGCUGCUCAAGUUUAUAAAUCAUUCCAACCCUAGGUUCUAAUAAAAUGUCUGUUUGUUGGACAAAAGUGCAGGGAAAGAAGGAUUUGAUUUUGUUCCUCCGUCUGGUAAUAAUAGCUCUGGAACAUACGAAAUUGCUUUAUUAUGUUUGGGGAUGAUGCAUUUCCACUUUGGGCAUCCAAAGCUGGCUUUGGAGGUGAAUUCUUUGAACAUUUUGAUUUGGAUACUUGCUCCAUUUUUCUACCUUUCUUAGACCUAAAGGCUUUCUAUCAUUUAUACUAUGUUGUCAGCACGCAAUGUCUAUUAUACUUUGGUGCGUUACUUAUAUUGUUUGGUUAUGUUUAGGUUUUGACUGAAGCAGUUCGUGUUUCUCAGCAGGUAAUAAUCAUAUAAUUUUUUUUUUGUUUAUUCAUUAAAAUUGCUGACCUGAUCUGUGCUCAUCAAGUGGCACAGAACUAAGGUGACAGCAAAUGUUACCUUACAGUAUAUGUGCUAUAGUAUUACAGAUACUUGGAAAAAUAAAUCUCAGCAAGUGUUUCCAUUUAAACCCAAACACGUCUUCCCCAUACAUUAGCUAUAUGUUGUGCUUUGAAUACUGACAGCUUUCAUUUAUGCAGCACAGUAAUGAUACCAAUCUUGCAUAUACUUUAGCAGCUAUCUCAAACUUGCUGUUUGAAAAUGGCAUCUCAAGCACUGCUGGGAUACUAGGAUCAUCAUAUUCACCGUUUACUAGUAUGGGUAUUUCACUCUCUGUUCAGCAACAAUUGUUUGUUCUCUUGAGAGGUUCUUUGAAGAGAGCAGAGAAUUUAAAGCUAAAACGGUUGUUGGCUUCCAAUCAUUUGGCAAUGGCGAAGUUUGAUUUAACGGUAAUGUGAUUUUCUGACCACAUUAAACUUUUUGGUUACACUGUUAAUAAUUUUUCUAUAUGAAAGUGGUCAUUUAGCACAUUCUUUGAAUUUGUCCCCUAAAUGAUAGUGUGAAAUCAUUGUUGUCUUGUCAGUAUAAGAACAUUAGCUUGUUAGUAUCUCAAGAAAUUCAAUCCUCAAGUACAUUACUCCCUCUGUCCUUAAUCUUUGCUCCUUUAAGGUUUGUCCGUAAUCUUUGCUCCAUUAAGGUUUGGGCACACAUAUUAAAAAGUAAUAAAGGUAUUUAGACCCUUUUACAUGUAUUUAGUAAAAAAAAAUUCAUUUAAUUCAUGCUUUUUAUUUUUCUAAGGGUAUAAAAGGAAAAAGAUCAUUAAUUGUAUCUUGGUUUCCUAAAAGAACCAAAGUUGCAGGACAAAAAUAAAAAGCUAAAAGAACCAAAGAUUAGGGACGGAGGGAGUAGCUUGCUAGCAUAAGAAUACGAGAGAGAUACAAAAUUGUGCAAAUUAUAGACAGAGCCACACUUUAGAACUAUAUGGGAAAAAGUAAUUGAGGGUAGAUUUAGAUGAGAUCUUCACAUUAGAGAAUUGGUUUGGUUUUAUCCAAGGAGGUCAACGACAGAAGCUGUAUAUCUAUUGCAAGGUUUGAUGCACCUAUAAAAGGGAAAUAAAAAGACACACAUGGUCACGUUUGAGAUUCAGAAAAUGUGCGCUAGGGGGUAUUACGAGAAGCCUUUUGAAAGGCUCUUGAGGAGGGUUAACUUCUAGUCAAUAUCUUUGUUAAGCUAAAUGGAUUCUGAUUCAUUUCGGCAUGUAGCAUGACUUUCCUGUAGGGCACGACUUGGUUGAUUUGCUAUCUAAGAUUGAAGUUUGUUUAGGAUUUGAUUGUUGUCAUGCAUAAACUUCAAGUUAUAGCAUUUGCUCUAUACCAAGUAGAAAGGCCGUUGUUAUGAUGAAAAAAGUUUGUAUCUUUUUAUCCCUCGAAGAACCUCUAAAUGUGUCAUUUGAUUUAUGUUUUACUACUUUAUAAGUCCUUAUUGCUUCUUUACCUAAGUUUGGAUCAUUGCUUUGAAUGUUUUGGGUUACAAAAGACCUGGUUUGAGUAUGAACAUUCCCAAACGUGGGAUGUAGUGCAUUUGAGCACGGUCCAUAUCUCCUUACCUUAGUUUAUGUUUUUUUAUUGACGGUUGUUUACUUACGUGUUCCUUGUUUAUGAAACAAUAAAUUCUAAACUUCAGUUGUGGAGAGAAGGUUUGAAUUGAAGGCUUUUGAUAAGUUGGAGUUAAAAGAAUUAUAUGAAAUAUAUGGAAUGGUUAUUGAAGAUGAAAGUUAGGGAUCAUAACAUACCUGAACUUGUACAGUUUAGGAAUUCCCCUGGGAAUCCAAGGCCAUUAUUCCCGGUGAAGGAAAGAAUAGAGUACGAACUUUCCCGCAGGAAUCUAGUGACCAUUAGUUUUUUGUUCUCUUUCUUCGUUUUCAUUUCCUUUUUUUUACGUUGAAGUAUAAAUAAUUCAUCUUGUUUUUAUUUUGAUUCUUUUUUUCAGGGAUUUGGAUAGGAGACAGCGAAAAUACUUAAAAAAGGAUGUUUUCAUUGUUUCUUAUACAAAACUGGGGAAACAAGAAAUAAAUUGAAAACAGCAUGGCAUUUUUGAAAUUUAAAUUUUAAAGUAAAAAUAGGAAUUGAAAACAAAAAAUGGAAAUGGAAACGAAAUAGGAGGUAUCUUCAAAUAUGGCCCUAAUUCUAAUAAAUUUUCAGAUCUUGUUAAUAUUAUGGCUGAACCCCUAGUCCAUGUAGCUAACAGUAUAUCAUCAUUAUUUGUCAUAUUUAAGUUACUUAAAACUCUACCAGUGUGAACUGAAUUGAUUCUUUAGUCUUGUUAGCUGCAAAUGAAACUUGAAUUUUAUCUGAUCCCAUUUUACAUCAUAGUAGUAUCUUCUCUGCAGCAUGUUCAAAGGCCCUUGUUAUCAUUUGGUCCAAAAUCUUCCAUGAAGCUCAGUACAUGCCCAGUUAACGUUUCCAAGGUAGUAAAAUUUUGUGAUUAUUCUUGUUUAGUGACUGUUUGAGAACUAGAGAAUUAGAUUAAUUACUUAAUGCAUUUUCUUUCUUUUAUAUCUGGCAGGAACUCAGGUUGAGUUCUCAUUUGAUUAGUGAUUUUAGCACUGAGAGUUCUGCAAUGACAAUUGAUGGUGCCUUCAGUACAGCCUGGCUCAGGAAUUUACAAAAGCCAAAUGGUUCAAAUAUUUUUUGUCAGGAUUCUGGAUCUGGCAACAGUUCUAAUAUUCCCCAGUUCUGUGCCCAACCAACAUCAAUUCCUGGAUCUGUGUUGCAAGUACUGGGAUCAUCUUAUAUACUUCGUGCAACAGCUUGGGAGUUAUAUGGCAGGUAAAGUUGCUAUCUGUGUUAUAGAUAUACAUGAUUAUAUCAAUUAAGGUUACAUUGAACUAUUAUUCUCUUUUUCUUCAAACUGCCUGUCAACAGAAUACAAUAUAAUUGAUCAAUGUUUAAGUUGAUUUAACUAUGAAUUAUUAGUAAAAGAAAAAAAAUCCUGCUUCAGCAUGAUGUCGUUGCUUUUUCUUCGACGUAUUUGGCACCACCAAGUAACAAGUCUUUCCCUUUGCAAGGUAGAUUAUAGUUCUAGACUUAUUAGCAGCAUCCUGCACAGGUCACACAAAUUGUUGGGUAGAAGCAAAAUAGAUUAGCACCAAAUCAUAAUGAUUUAAUCAAAGAAUGUAAUUGAGCCUGUAAUAGAAGGGCCAAAACUCUAAUAAAUUUGUAUAGAAAAAGCUAAUGUAUUGAGAAAAAUGAUAUCAUUAAGAGUGAGUACCAGAAUGAAUGCAAAAGGUGAGCAAUAGUCAUGAUUUGAACAAUAGUUAUUCCUAUAGAACUGUCACAAAUUAUGGGGCCCAACUCAUCCUUACAAAACCGGCUUAUAUGUUUUGGGGAGCCUCCUCUUUAUAAAUUCUUCUCAAGAAUCAUAUCUAUCCGAUGUGGGACUAAAUCCACUGAGUGUUGGCUGCAACAAAAACUUGCGAGUUAAGUCAACAAAAUAAAUUAAAAUAUUUUAAAACAUAGAAUAUUUUGAUAGGGAGAGUGGUUCCCAAUAACAAAUGUGUACACACUACACAGAUAUCCUUGUAAUGUUAUAUACCAUAAUUGAACAGUUUAGUAGGUGGUAAGGCCUUACUUACAAACAUGCAUGCAGAACCGAGUUGUCAUUCAGGAUGAUUUCUAUAUUCGGAUUUAAUCUAGUUAAUAUGGUGUUCAUGUCAUAGAGAUUCGACAAAGUUUUACGUUGGCUGUCGAGGACUAACACAACCCUCACCUUUUACCCGGGCUUGGGACCGGCUAUGUAUAGCAAGGCUAACAUAGACAGGAUUACCCGGGCUUGGUUUAUGAUAGAACAUUAUGGCGUAAUUUGAUCCAUGUAUGUAGACUACCCCGCAUAGUGGGAUAAUGCUUGGUUGUUUUUGUUGUUGUAAUAUGGUUUUCAAACUCAGCAAGAUAAAUUGUAUCAAAAUGGGUACAUAAGCACAAUCAUAUUGACCAAAAUUCUCGAAGCCUUGAUUUUAUUAUACCAGACUUUUUGAUAAACAAAAUUAACCAAAAUGCUUGUUUUGUUUUGAGAUCUUUUCAUCAUUCUGGGGCGAUGAACAAUAUUUACUUGUUGGAUAUGCAUGUAUAAUGUUUAUUUCUUCAUAUUUUUGUAAUAUCUUGGAAGCUUGCUGUGUGUAUUUCGUCAUCUGAAUUUGUUCUUUUUCUUUUUUUGAAUUGUCAUUAGCACUCCUAUGUCUCGCAUAAAUGCGCUAGUGCAUGCAACUUGCUUUGCUGAUGCAUCAAGGUAACUACUGAGCUGAAUAUACUACAGACUACAAAUAUUAUGUUGAGUUGCUAAUUCUGUAUCGCCUUUGUUUAUUAUAAAGUAGCUGUUUAACAGCCAUUUUUUUCCGCUUAAAUGUUUUAAUCCCUAAAAACGUUUUUUCUAAAAUAAACUCUAUCGUUUUUUCACCUUUGUCUAUAUUUUUAAAAAAGGUUUCUAGUCCUCAAAUAAAGCAAACUAUUUCUUAUUAAAUGUUAUGACUAAAAACAAAAUAAAUUUAAAUAAGGGCUAAUUUAAAAAUCAUCAUAUUUUAGGGAUUAAAAAAAUAUUUAGGACUAUUUUUAUGCUUGCUUUAACUUUAAUUUUGGUUACUCCAGCUCAUCAGAUGCAGCAUUAGCAUAUGUAAAGCUCAUUCAACAUUUAGCAGUCUUUAAAGGAUACAAAGGUUAGAUUGGUUGCAUAAAAUAGAAUAGAUUCCUGCGGUCCUGCCCUUAUAUGUGUGUGUGUGUGUGUGUGUAUAAUUUCAUUAGUAAUGCAAAUUGCCUUUUGUUAAUACGAGUUGUUUUUUCUUUCUUUUAUUUGCUCCUUAUUGUUCUUCUGUUUUCAUUCUGUGUUUAGAGGCCUUUUCUGCCCUUAAAAUAGCAGAAGAGAAGUUUCUAUCUGUCUCAAAAUCACAAAUCAUACUGCUAAAGCUGCAGCUGCUUCAUGAGCAUGCUUUACAUGGGUAAGUAGUCUAGGUCAACAGUUAUGUUCAAAUUCUUAAAUUCUGCAAGCAGCUAUGAUUUAAGCACUGUUAAUAACUUAAUUGAGAAUUAUGCAGCGGACGUUUAAAGCUGGCCCAGAAACUGUGUGAUGAACUUGGUGCUUUGGCAUCACCUGUUACUGGUGUAGAUAUGGAGAUAAAGACAGAAGCAAGCCUUCGCCAUGCCCGUACCUUGCUCGCAGCAAAGCAAUUCCGAGAGGUUUCCCCCCUCCCUCUGUAUGCUCUAAAGAUCAGUAAUAUACAGAAAAUCCUGAUAUUUUUUGAAGUAUAAGUGCAUAUGUAAUUGUUUCUUUAUAGGUAAUUAGGGGUCGAAAUCUUGAAAUAUAUUAUUCUAUAAGAAUCCUUGCGGUAUUGUCAUUGAUAGUGGUUCUACUCUGAUGUGAUAUAUUUUAAAGAUUAGUAAUAUUAGUAAUAUAAGAAAAUCCUGAUAUUUUUUAAAGUAUAAGUGCAUAUGUAGUUGUUUCUUUAUGGGUAAUUAGAGGUGAAAGUCUUGAAAUAUAUUAUUCUAUAAGAAUCCUUGCGGUAUUGUCAUUGAUAGUAGUACUACUCUGAUGCGAUAUUUUUAUACUCAUGCAUGACCACUUUGCUGCUGAAUUAAUACCACCCCCUUUAAAUACAUGUGUUGUUUGUGCAUUGUCAAUGCCGAAAUUGCCGGACCUUUAUGUAUUAGAGUAUUUCUGUGGGAUCAUAGCUUCUUUGUAUUUGAGGAAAAACACAGGAGUUAAAUCAAUCAUUUUUUACUAGGCUAAAUUGAGAACAGAAAAAUUGUUGUUUUAUUUAAUUUUUGAAUAAUGAUUUUCUUUUUCAGGCAGCUUCUGUGGCACACUCCCUCUUUUGCAUGUGUUACAAAUACAAUCUUCAAGUUCACAAUGCAUCUGUUCUUCUUUUGCUUGCUGAGAUUCAUAAGGUAUGUGAUCACAUCUGUCUGAUACACUAUGCAAUUCAUGUAGUUGAGAUCCAGCUAUUUUAUCGUGUUUGCUCUCUUUUCGGAUAACUUUCUGUUUAAUCAAAAUUUGCUGUUGGGUUACAAUUGACAGUGUGGUGAUAUCCCCUCUCCAAUUCACUGCACGAAAUGUCAGUUGUGUAUCAAAUAGUUAAGAUUACGUGCUAAGCAAGCUAUUAUACGAAUAUUUAAUAAACAAAGACAUAUGUUGGUGAUGUUAUUUAAGCUUGUAAUAAGCACUCACUAGCAUCACUCUAUUAUUGAAGGAAAAAUAUUUGUCACAAGUCAUGACUCUGCGUGUUUUUAUUUCUUAUUGUUUAACUGUGAUGAUUUAUUUUCUUUUUAAUGCAUUAUCUAAAUGUGCAUUCUAUGUUACUUGAUGUGUACUGCUUUAAAUCAUCAUAUGCUCUCCACAGUUUGUUUGCUUUAAAUCCCUGAUUUUUAUUAUGUUUAAUUUUAUCAGAAAUCUGGCAAUGCGGUUUUAGGGAUACCAUAUGCUUUAGCAAGCCUUUCAUUCUGCAUAUCAUUUAACUUGGAUCUUCUAAAAGCCUCAGCUACUCUUACUUUAGCUGAGCUAUGGCUCUCUCUUGGAUCAAGCCAUGCCACACGGGCACUGAACCUUGUCCGUGGAGCUUUUCCGAUAAUUCUUGGUCAUGGAGGUUUGGAGCUCCGCUCACGGGCCUAUAUCGUUGAAGCAAAAUGCUAUCUAUGUGAUACAAAUUUCAAUGGUACGUUGCUGAAGAUUGUAGAUGGUAGACUAUUUAGACUAUGCUAUACGUUGUUGCACCCAAAAGAAAAGGACUGCUAUUUGUUCAUUCAAGCUUCUUAGUUUCUACAUUCAUAUUUCAUAUAUUGUUUCUGCAAAACUGAAUUUAUAAUUCUGUAAGAGAUAUUGGCCAAAUAGCUGGAGAACUAUGUAAGAACUAUUAAAAAUGGUGUCAGAUUGAAACUUAUGCGAGGUAGUUUUGGCAUGCUUUGAAAAGGUUAAAUAAAUCCUUGGGGCAAUCAGACCCAUAACUAAUUGAAACUUUGGGCGCAAUUUAGAGAGGAUGGCUGAAAACUUGUUUGAAAAAUAUUGUGGAUUUCAAGUCAUAUAGCUUCCUGAGAGGGUGGAGGCCCUAUCCUCUUCCCCCCUGUUGAACCUUCAACUAAAUCUCUUUUUGCUCAUUUGAAUUGUUAUUUCAGUUGGUGAAGAUUACAAUUUUGUGAUAGAUUCAUUAAAACAAGCUUCUGAAGAACUCCAACCUUUGGAGGUAAGCAGACUUUAUGCAUUUUAGUCUUGUGUGUGUGAUUUUCCAUUGUUUGUUUUCCGUUUGUAAGCAAAAAGGAAGCAUCUGUUUAACCUCUGGUUUUACAUGUGUCCCGUGUCUGACGUGUAUCAACAUCCCCAUUUAGGUGUCCGUCUAAAAAAAUAACUUUUUCAAUCUGAUAGAUCUCUGACACCGAUAGGACACCUUUACGGUGGGAAGAGACAUUUUUAAUGAUAUAUUGUGCCUUUUUUUUUUUUAAUAAUGCGGUUGCAGUAGUUUGUAACUUGUUUUGGAUAUUUUAUUUUGAUUAUUUUUUGUUUUCUAAUUAUGUGAAUCAUCUCUUUUUGAUCUUUUAUAAUGACGUUCAUAGAUUAUUUAAUCCCAUUAUAACAUAUCUUUAUCGGUACCAUAGAUUUUGGACAAUAUUGGUGUUUAUUUGUGGGGUCAGGUUAUUUACUUCAUCAGCACUAAUUAUGUAUAUGAAACUAAAGAUAUUCAUACUUUAUUACGAAUAACUGUUACAAACUUACAAUGAUAAAUUAAAGUGAAAGUGAGAUGUCAUUAUAUGCUUGCAUAUAGAAUAUAGAUAAACUCUUUUGAAGUUGAUUUUAUAAACCUCGGACAUAUGAGAUUAUGCUAUGUUGUGAUGUGGAAACUGGAAAGUCCCUAAUAAAAUACCACUACGAGAAUUGAUGUAUUUGACGAUUUUUUUUCUCUUGUUUUGCAUCUCAUCUUAGCAACUCUUUCUUCUCAACCUCCAAAUCUCUAGUAUAUUUUCUUCAUGAUUUGGUUUUCUUUUACCAAGUGGACAGAAAAACUGACAUAGAAAGAUAUUUCAUAUUCCCAGUCAAAUUUCUAUAAUUUUGAAGUCCUUAGUACUAAUCGGUUAUUGUUCCUUCAUUUGUAAAUAAAAUAAAAUAAAUUUGCUAUUUGCUCUUGCAUAGAAAAUACUAUAUGCUACUUGACUUCAUUAUUGUUACGCAUUAUAAAGUUACAUCUUGAGUGCUCUGCAGUUUCAUGAAUUGGCGGCUGAAGCAUUCUACUUGAUGGCCAUGGUCUAUGACAAACUUGGGCAAUUAGAGGAAAGGGAAGAAGCUGCAACUUCAUUUCAGAAACAUAUAUUGGCUCUUAACAAUCUGCAAGAUCAUGAUGAUCCUCUUGUUAGUAUAUAUUGAAUGUUCUGUUUACCAUUUUUUUUUUUGGUGAUAGCUUACCAGAUUAUAUCGGACACUGAUCUUAGUAUACUAUGUUAUGUAAUUAUCAAUAGUUGUCUAUAGCAUUAGCCAUUUUGUUUUGUUUGAGGUUGAUUAUAAAGUUAGCCAAGAUUCAUGACGCCACAAACGCUUUGAAUAUGUUGUCUUCACCACACCUUACAGAGGACAACGGUUCGACACUCACCACACCUUCUGGACAUUCUAAAUUAAAUACUUCAAGUUGUUGUACUUGUAUUUUGCACUGCUGGGUUAUAUUUGGCAUAAAGUAUUGCAGUUGAUUUAUCAAGAGAAAUGAUGUUUGUAGAACCAUUUUUUGGACAAUUUUUGAGAGAAUCUUUUUCCCCUUUUUUUUUUGGGACAAAAAGAUAGAAAGAGGGAGAGUUUGUCCCAAAAUAGUUUUACAAAUGUCAUUUCUCUUGAUUAAAGUUUUUUUUUUGUUUCAUAUGAACACCAUGUUAAAUUAGACGUGUAAAUAAAUUCACUAGGAUCUAGUUACAAUUAUGGUGGCUUAAUUAGGGAGGAAAAGUAUCAUUUUUAUGCAUUCGACCAAUCAUAUCAUAUGAGUCGUAUGUUUGAGUGUGGUCAACCACAUCAUAAUUUCUCACUUUUUUGGGAAAAAUUUGAAUGGAGAUGGAUUGGAGUUCAUACAAUUGACACUCAGAUGAAGAAAAGAGAAAAGUUGAAUCAACAAAUAUUUUCAUAUGGUUAGGUUUAUAACUUAAUUUUUUUUAGGAGACUGACUUUUUUCAGUUUUUUUAAAGGAUUCCCAUGACCUGUGGUGAGACUGUACUAAUCUUUAUUUUUAUUUUCAUUUUCGUUUUAUACAUAUGUUAAUACAAUCUCGCCAUGAACUAUUACGAGUCAGCAAUUGUCCUUGCCAUGAAAUUUGACUUGAUGAAUUCUUCACAUUUUACUGCAUUGACUUCAAACUGCAACAAAGCAUCCAACAACUACUUUCUCAUGAGAUUAAUCCACCUGCAUUUUCAACUCAUGGUUGAAGUACUAUUGCUUGAACUUUCAUUCACCAAAGGAGCAACACCCAUUUGAAUAUGAAAGCAGCACAAUGGAACCAAAUCCAUCAUUGCUGGCUUAUUCACGAGAAAUUUUCUUGGGGCUUCUGUUCAAGCUAAUCCACCGAUAUUAUAGUGAUUGAUCAAAUCACCCAUUAAAAGUGCUUCUGAAUAUUCCUGUGAGGAUUCUAACAUUGUGUGUGUAGCUAAAUCCCUUUGAGAUUGAGACAAUGGCAUUAUCGUUGGUGAUCUUUCCUUUCUUCUUUAGAAGAGAUUCAUUAUUGAGGAAGGGUUUAUGUGUAGCUGGAUCAAUCCCUUGUUUCAUUACUUACUUGGUUGCAGCCGAUCCCUCCAACUAAGUAAUUGUAUCAUCCGAAUCUAGUUUAGUAAUAAAAUUGAAUUACCAUGCAUGCUAUUAAAUUUAUUUCAGUUACCCUUUUUUUCCUUUCAAAUAACUUAACAUUUUUAAGAUGAAUAAGUGAGUUAUCUGGAGUUCGAACCUCAGUUCUUACAUAUAUAAUGCAACGUCUCAACCAAUUGAGUUAAACUCACAAUUUUAGUGUGUGAACUUAUUUAAAAAUAGAUACAAUGUGUUGUACAAUUUCGAAUGAAAAACUCACGCUAAUAGACCGUGUAGUUAAAUAUUUUAAUAAAUCAAUGGACGUCAGCUAUAUAAUAAUAAUAAGAGUAAUAAUAACUCCAUCAUUUAAAACGUUAGUCGCUAAUUUUGAAAAAUAAAAUAAAAAAUUACGUUCAAUGAAUUAUUUAAAACUUUGUUUCUUUCAAAUUUGUUUUUUUUAUAACACUAGUUUUUUAAAACUUAAUUAGUCUGUGCACAUGUUUUUUAAAACUAGUUAUAUAACACUAGUUUUUUUUAAAACUUUAUAGUCCAGUCAAGUAAAGGCUUCUUGUGAUGAUGUGUGAUGUUAGCAUCUCCACAAAAUAUAUUAUCUUGACAUUACUACAAUAUUCCCUCGUUGUUCACGAGUUAAUUACGAUCUAACUAUGAAACUUCCUCACUCUCACUCUCACUCACUCUCUUAUUCUUUGUCUGUCUAUAAAUAACAUUCUAAAUCUUGGCUUUCUUUUUCAAGUUUCAAACCAAUUACCAAUCAAUCUCCCUGAACUCCUUUCUUUCUUUUCAUUUUCUGGAUUUCAAAUCCUUCACUUAACAAGAGAGAAAUGGAAGUUCAACGCCAAAUAUAUUCUGAUCCCUCCAGCAAAACAAAGAAGAACCAAAAGCAGCAGAAUUCACUGUCACAAACUUCUUCACUUUACUUAACAAACACUUUUUUCUUCGGUCUCUUCUUCUCCGUCGCAUACUUUCUUCUUAACCGGUGGCGUGAAAAGAUCCGAACCUCUACACCUCUCCAUGUCCUCACAAUCUCCGAGAUUCUUGCUCUAGUUUCCCUCAUUGCUUGCCUUAUCUACCUUACGGCUUUCUUUGGCGUUGCCUUCAUCCUUCAUUACGAUGAAGAAGAAGAUGAAGUUGCUGACAUUGCUGCGAAAACCACCAAAGUCAUGCCAAAUCUACCGGAGGAAAUCCUUGUCCAAAAAGUUUUGUCCAUGGAAGAUGAGGAGGUUGUUGGUGCAGUGGUGUCUGGAUCAAUUCCAUCUUACUCGCUUGAAUCGAAGCUUGGAGAUUGCCGACGUGCUGCUGUGAUUAGGAACCAAGCUGUGGAGAGAGUUACUGGAAGGUCACUUGAAGGUUUACCAAUGGAAGGUUUUGAUUAUGAUUCUAUAUUAGGACAAUGUUGCGAGAUGCCAAUAGGGUUUGUUCAGAUUCCGGUGGGUGUUGCCGGUCCUUUGUUGCUCGAUGGUAAAGAAUACACCGUGCCAAUGGCAACCACUGAAGGUUGUUUAGUUGCAAGUACCAACAGAGGUUGUAAAGCUAUUUAUGUUUCUGGUGGUGCUUCGGCAGUUGUCCUUCGUGAUGGAAUGACCAGAGCUCCUGUCGUAAGAUUCAACUCCGCUAAAAGAGCUUCUCAGUUGAAAUUCUUUUUGGAAGAUCCUCUAAAUUUUGAUUCCAUCUCUCAUACAUUCAACAAGUAAGUAUUUUUGAAUUUUGAAUUUUGAAUUUUUGUUGAAAUGACUCAUUUGGAUAAUUAAUUGAUUUUGUUUUGGAUAUAUAUUUAGGUCAAGUAGAUUUGCAAGAUUACAAAAUAUUAAAGCUACUAUAGCAGGAAAGAAUUUAUACACUAGAUUCACUUGUUCAACCGGUGAUGCAAUGGGGAUGAACAUGGUAUCAAAAGGUGUACAAAACGUACUUGAUUUUCUUCAAACUGAUUUUCCUGAUAUGGAUGUUAUUGGUAUAUCUGGAAAUUUUUGUUCGGACAAGAAAGCUGCGGCGGUGAAUUGGAUUGAAGGGAGAGGGAAAUCAGUGGUUUGUGAGGCUGUAAUUAAGGAAGAGGUGGUGAAGAAAGUGUUGAAGACUAGCGUGGAGUCUUUGGUUGAGCUUAACAUGCUUAAAAAUCUUACUGGUUCAGCCAUGGCUGGUGCUCUUGGUGGCUUCAAUGCACAUGCUAGUAAUAUUGUUUCAGCAGUUUACUUGGCAACAGGUCAAGAUCCUGCUCAAAAUGUUGAGAGUUCUCAUUGUAUGACCAUGAUGGAAGCUGUUAAUGAUGGCAAGGACCUUCAUAUCUCAGUCACUAUGCCUUCCAUUGAGGUAUAAUUACUUGUUUUAAUCUUUAUUAUUGGUUUGGUUAUUGCAUUACUUAUCUCUAAUUCUCAAGAAUAUUACUACUAUAGUAAAAAAAAAAAAAAAAAAGGCAUUGAUUUUGUGUAUGAUUUAUUUACAUAAUAUUUUAAUAAUGCAGGUGGGUACAGUUGGAGGGGGUACACAACUUGCAUCUCAAUCAGCUUGUCUUAAUUUACUUGGAGUUAAGGGAGCUAGUAAAGAGAGUCCAGGAGCAAACUCUAGGCAAUUGGCAACUAUAGUAGCUGGUUCAGUCCUUGCAGGAGAGCUUUCACUCAUGUCUGCAAUUGCAGCUGGUCAACUUGUUAAAAGCCACAUGAAAUACAACAGAUCUAAUAAAGAUGUCACCAAAGUUGCUUCAUGAGAUAAAUAACCUUUGCAUGUAUCAUCAAGAAUAAUAUUUCAAAAGGGCAUUAGUUGAUGUUAUUGAUAAUGAUGGGUGCACAGCCUGCAAACAAAACUUCAUCCAUGUAUAUGGUCCAUGCCAUGGGAUCAUAUCUAUCUCAAGUUGUACAGAAGCAGUUAAAUGAGAUUUAUUUUGUAUUUUUCUUCUUCUUUAGUGCUGUAGUAUGUCUCAAUUCCCAUCCAAAGCUUAAAGAUGUGGUGUACUAUUUUAAUAUGAGAUUUUUCUUUUCUUUUUAUUUAAUUUUCAAUUUUUAUUGCUUAUAAUUGUUAUUUACCUCCUUUCGUUUUGAUUGUCAUUUUAGAUUUAUUUAUACAUAUAAGAAGAUCAAUAAUUUUUUGUACCAAAAAACGAAGAUCUAUAAAUUUUACUAUUUGUGAUGGAAUUAUUUCUCUUUUUUCUAUAAGACUCUUGACUAUUUAUAGUGUAUCUCAUUUUCUUUAUUUUUUGUCUUCAAUAAAUACUAAAAUGUAUUAUUGAUAAUAUAAUAACAAAUAUUAGUACAUUUUAACUUUGAAAACAACAAGCAAAUAAGAGCAAAAGUUUUCUAAACAAAACGACAAAUAAAAAGAAAAUGAGGGAGUAUGUGCUAAGUUGUGUUUUUGUAAUUUUAAAAUGCCAAACAUAUAUUUUAGUGGGAUAUUUUGAAAAUAAACACGAUACCAAAGUGAAAUGUAUACAACCGUUAAAAGUACACUAAGCAAAAAUUAAGCAUAUUGCCUAAAUUAUCUAGCAUAACUAAUAAACUGGUUCAUUCAUAUCAACAAGAAUUGAGUGUAGAUUUUUACUUCACUGCAUACGAGUCUUGGUUGAGACAAAUGUAUACAUUUGAUGUUUGAUGUAUCUCACUGAAAAACAAAAAUAGAAAAAAAAUGACACUUGGAUUAAUACGACACUUUUAGAUAAAUGAUGCUGACAAUUUAAAACUAAUAAGAGGUAAUUGUGGUGCUCGUAAGUAUGAGCAGAGUUAAGAUGAUGUGGUUGGAGGCACUGAUAGAGAAUAUGUUUUGUAGAUAGAUAUGAGGUGCUAUGCUUGUUUUUGGCAAUGUAAAUUUUGAUUGGUUUCUAACAAUGUAUUUAAAGAAUAUGGUGAUGAGGAUGCUAGAUUUUAGUUAUAUUUUUGGGCAUAAGUGGUUUAUUAAUUAUUAUUUGUGAGGAUGUUUGAUGUGGAACAUGCUUAUCUUGUGUUAGAUAAACAUUUUUCAAUAUUUUAUAUGUUUAACUUAAACUUUAACGGAUAAGGAAAAUAUGAUGUUUAUAUUUGUCGUAUUCAUACGUUUAAUAUAUUGUAGUCGUUUGAUUGAGCUUGUGUAAUUCGUAUUUUAAUAUAAACUAUUUGAUUUCGAUCAAAGGACUAUUAAAGCGCAAUUGUGACAAACUAUUCGAACUUAAUAAUUAUUUUUAUAAAUAAGACCUAAUAAAGUAAUAUUUAUUCUAGAGAUUGCAAUUGUCAUUGCCAUUCUUAUUUGAAGUUUACUAACUUAGGUUGCUUUAAUGAAAGUUGAGUGUGGAGGAUGUUUUUCCAAUUCAAUAUUUCUAAAAACAUUCCAACAAACUAUAGAAAGUCGUGUUUUUCUUCUCCACUUCCCAUAUUUUUUUAUUUGUUGUCUAUAUCCUAUGAAAUUAUCAUCAUCUUCACCAUUUUUUCCUUCAUCCUCAUCCAUCCACUCUCACACACCAUUUCUCCCACGCAACACACAAAACUCCAACCACGCCGCCACUCCAUUACUCUCAUCCAAUCACAUUCCUCCACGUUUCACAUCCCCUCAACAUAAAAACACCAACACUCUUACAAAUUCGAACAACAACACCAAGACAAACACUAAAACAACAAUCUCCAUGGCCAUCGAAACAGAAACCCAAACCCAAACCCAAACCGGGUUCAAAUUAGUUGGCUUCAAGAACUUCGUCAGAGCCAACCCAAAAUCAGACCGGUUCAAUGUAAAACGCUUCCACCACGUCGAGUUCUGGUGCACCGACGCAACAAACACCGCACGCCGCUUCUCUCACGGACUCGGAAUGCCGAUUGUCGCUAAAUCCGACCUCUCCACCGGAAACCUAACUCACGCUUCUUAUCUCCUCCGCUCCGGCGACCUCAACUUCCUCUUCUCCGCCGCAUAUUCCCCUUCCAUUUCUCUCUCCUCACCUUCCUCAACCGCCGCAAUCCCCACUUUCUCCGCUUCCACUUGCUUCUCCUUCUCCGCUUCCCACGGCCUCGCCGUCCGUGCUGUUGCUGUUGAAGUCGAAGACGCUGAAGUCGCUUUCACCACCAGCGUAAACCUCGGUGCAAUUCCAUCGUCUCCUCCGGUUAUCCUCGAAAAUAACGUCAAACUCGCGGAAGUUCAUCUCUACGGCGACGUUGUUCUACGUUACGUCAGUUACAACGACCUGAACCCGAACCAGAAUCCGAACCUGUUCUUCCUCCCUGGUUUCGAACGUGUAUCAGAUGAAUCUUCUAAUUCAUCGUUAGAUUUUGGAAUCCGAAGACUAGACCAUGCCGUCGGAAAUGUACCGGAGCUUUCAUCAGCGGUGAAAUACGUGAAACAAUUCACCGGUUUUCAUGAAUUUGCUGAGUUCACAGCGGAAGACGUUGGAACGAGUGAGAGUGGAUUAAACUCAGUGGUGUUAGCGAAUAAUGAAGAAACGGUUUUGCUUCCGAUGAAUGAACCUGUUUACGGAACAAAGAGAAAGAGUCAAAUAGAAACGUAUUUGGAACACAAUGAAGGUGCUGGGUUACAGCAUUUGGCGUUGAUGUCAGCGGAUAUAUUUAGGACACUGAGGGAAAUGAGAAAGAGAAGUGGUGUUGGUGGGUUUGAGUUUAUGCCUUCUCCUCCAGUGACUUAUUAUCGUAAUUUGAAGAAUCGCGUUGGCGAUGUUUUGAGUGAUGAACAGAUUAAGGAGUGUGAAGAGCUUGGGAUUCUGGUUGAUAGAGAUGAUCAGGGUACUCUGCUUCAGAUUUUUACCAAGCCUAUUGGUGAUAGGUAUGUAUAUGCUCUUUUAGAAUCAUAUCAUGUAAUUACAUUUCAUUUUGUUGCCUUGAUUUCAUUAUUAGCAUAGCAACUAGACUAUAGUCAAGUGGUUAGAGUUAUGUGGUUAAUAAGCUUCAGAUAAGUUAGAAUCGAAUCGAUAUGAGCACUUGGGCUUGAUUAUGCCUAGAACAAUCAUUGACUAGGUUUUACUUACCUCUAUCCCCCGAACUCCGGAUUAUGACUAUAGCAACUUAUCCCAUUAUUAUUUGUUUGGUUUGGGGUCCGGGUUCCUUUGCAGCACUUCAACUGAGCCGUUGAAUACAAUACUGCACCUGAAUCCAACGACUUUGCAACAGCUGCAUUGGCGUCGUGUAAAAUUUUCAAUAGUUGAUUUAACGCAUGCUAAAACCCUCGUCCUUUUUCCUUCUCUUAAAUUACACGUGAUUUACACAAUGAUGAUUCUCAUCACUUAGGAUGACAUGAGCUAUGAGGAUUCUCAUCACUUAAAUAAGUAGUUGGGGUUCCAAAUCUGAUUCUUGUGCAUGUAGUGCCUAGUUAAGAGCAGAAAACCGCUGCAGUGCCUUCAAAUUCUUUGAAUAGAAUAAUCUCUUGCUUACUGAUGGAAAUCAUAGGCCAAAAUAAUGUUACACAUGAUUUGUGUUAACUGAUUUACCACGUUUGUGGACUAUUUUGAUCAAACUUCUAUUUUAUCAUGUUCAGUUAGGGAUCAAAGACACUACUAUAACCAUUCUUAUGCAUGAUCAGACUCUUAGCAUUACUAGAACCAUUUUUGUGCAUGAUCAGAAUCUUAGCUUUUUUCCUGAAAUAAUGAAAGUGUAGCUAAGUAACCUCAGAAAUUGACCCCUACCCUACCUAGCCACAAAUAGACCUGAACAGGAUUGUACUAAACCUGCUUGGUGUGUGGCUCUGGUUGACUUGAAACUGGUGCUAUGAUCGACUUAAAAUUGGUUCAUCAUAUAGUAAUGAUCGAUAAUGUUCAAAGGGAGUAUUGGUAAAUAUUGUUUACAAUUUGAUUAACAUUUCUUUCCCUUUAAAAAAAGUGCUAACAUGAAAGAUUCUCCCUACAUAAUUUUCGAAGAACGUCAGAACAGGUAGGAGUAGUUUAGUAAUCAACCAAGCAUAUAGGAAUAAGGAAUUGAAUUGCUUGAUUUAUCAUUUAUUUUGGUUUGAUGCUUUCGUGUACUUGAGUAGUAAAAAUGCUCCUUGAAUUGACAGCAAGUUUAUGGGAACAAAUUCAUUGUGACGCAAUUACUGAUCUUGACCUUCAAUCUAAAUAAAUGAUUGAGAUCGUUUGAAAUUGAUUUAGCAAAUGUGUAAUCUAAGUCAUUAGAUCUCAAAUCACAUGGCUGAAGCUGAUUACUGCGUAAAACUACGUGAUACUUUUACAGCAAUCCAAAUCCCUAUAUUAUAUAUCGAGAAUGUUUUUACUUAGUCCCUCUCACCCUGUUUAUUUCUUAGACCAUCGAUUUGAUAGUGUGUUGUGUCAGUGUGUUUAAGCCUCUUGCCUUGUAUAAUGGGGGAGUUAUGAUUAGUUAAAUAUCGUUGGCGUUGAUUUGCUACUUGUGUAAAAUGUGCAGGCCAACCAUAUUUAUAGAGAUAAUUCAGAGAGUUGGAUGCAUGCUCAAGGACGAAGAAGGGAAGGAGUAUCAAAAGGGAGGAUGUGGGGGCUUUGGAAAAGGAAACUUCUCGGAGCUUUUCAAAUCCAUUGAAGAGUAUGAGAAGACUUUGGAAACUAGAAGAACUGCAUGAUCCUCGUUCUGAUCUUUUGUGGUGCUCCUACUUUUCCAGCAAGUCAUUUGUUUACUGUAAUGCUUUUCUUUGACCUAGUGGAUGGUGGGAGUUUAGAGACCUUGGAACUAGGAUGUUGAUGUUGUUCUGUUAUACUGAGCCAACUAUAUGUAAAUCAUCACGUGUAAACGGACAAUAAUAAGUGCUUUAAAUUUUACUGCAAGUUUUAGUUAGAAAACAUACUUUAAACUCAGUAAGCAUUAUCUUUCCAAAAGUAUAUAUGAAGAACUGGUCCAUUGCUUUUUUUGGCAGUCAAUAUUACGACUUUAAUUUUACAACACUUUUCUUAAAUUUUAAUCCAUGAAGUUAUUAGAUAUUAAGAAUGAAGACAGUGUAUAAAAAAUAUAUCAGAAAUAACAAAAACAUAAAGUUAUGUUGGUUUAAUUGUCUGUAGUUCAAUGAACCUACUGACAUCAAACAACAAUUGUAACUAAACUUCUAGGUAAUAUAAAAUCGAUUCUCUAUUGAUCAUCAAUUAAAAAACAAUUAGCCAUGGAUUUUGGACAAUUUUUCUUUAAAAUAAAAUCGACUCUGUAUUGAGUGUAUCAAUUAAAAAACAAAUGGGUGAAAGCAAAAUCAAAAAAUUCCAUUGCCGGGAAUCGAACCCGGGUCUCCUGGGUGAAAGCCAGAUAUCCUAACCGCUGGACGACAAUGGAAAGUUGUGACAAUAAUUGACGACGAUUCAACUAUAUAUAAUAUUCGUAUUAAAAAGGUUUUCUUAGACCUAAAAAAGUUUUGCUUCUUUUUUUUCGUUAAAUAAAAAAGAACUAAGUGAAAUCCAUUUGCACAUGAGAAAUUAAGCUAAAAGCCCUCAAAAUAAUAGGGUACCUCUCACAAACUUAUAGACAAAGAAAAUGAUGUUUAAGUAUAUUUAUUGGUAAUUUAUUCCUUUAAGUUUAUAGGAGAUUGACUUUCUUCUAUCGAUUUAUGAAAAUAUAUUUGCUUAUUCUGAUUAAUGCAUACAAAAUCUUAUACACGUUAAAUGAAAAAGAGAGAAAGUCCAAUAGAGCAAUAUUUUACUAAAGUUAUAUUUUUUUUGGAUGCGUGUCACUAAUUAAGGUUGACAUUCAUAAAGUAAAGAAUGUGAACUAUAAUUAAAUAAUGCAAUUAGAAAAAAGCACACACUCCUUUCCUUCAUCACAUAUGGGCAUUGUGCUUACUGAAAAUAAAACCACUCAAGCAUGCUAAUGAAUGAUUCCAACUUCACGCCACAAAAGAACAGAUUAGUUUAAUUUAAUUUCAUCCAACAAGUGAAUAGCAAGUAUAUAUAUAACUUAGUAUACAUAUAUGCAUAUGCUCUAUAUAAAGCAAAAGCCAAAGAGAAGAAUCAAUAUUUGAAUUAGAGAGAAGAUAUGAAACAAAGUAACAAAGGGCAUGUUCCGGUGCUAGUAAGCAAAGGAGGAGAAGAUAUGGAGAGGAUUUGGGUGAGCAUCAAAGUGAUUCAUCAUCCAAAAAUUGUUGAAUUCUUAGAACAAUCUGCUAAAGAGUAUGGAUACCAACAAGGUGUGCUUAGAAUCAUAUGUGAUGUUGACGACUUUAAAGACAUUCUUGCUAACAUCUCCUAAUCUUUCGACAAAAAGAAAAAGAGUUGGCACCUCACCAGAUGCUUUGCCUUGGUUGAGUAAUUUUUUCAUUUUUAUUCUUUGGUUUUCCCUAUGUUCAAUAUACUAAGAUUACUUUAUUCGAAGCACUUUCAGAUCGUCUCUUCCAACUAAUCGAAUUUGAAAAUUAGUUCGUUAUAUUGUUGGAAUCUAGUUUAUUUUGCUAGACCAACAUCACCAAUACAAUUUUAUUUUUUAUAAGAGGGAUCGUCUCGGUUGAGUAUUAAAACUCACAUGUAAUCUCCGUGAGCAUAGCUCAAUUGGUAUGAACAUGCAUUGUUAUAUGUAGGGGUCAGGAUUUAAACCCCGGACAUCCCACUUAUUCACCUUAAAAAAGGUGAAUUCUAACCACUAGAUUACUUAAAAAAAAAAAAAAAAAAACUCAAUAAAAUAUACGAUUAGUCUAUAUUUUUAGUCAGCGGCGAAGCUAGCAAUAAUUCUAUGAGGUGGCCACACAAAAAUUAGUCUAUAUUUUUACUGCGGCGAAGCUAGCAGUAAAAUAUACUUAAAGAUUUUUUUUUAAACUAAACUAACCCAGUAGGCAACAAAAAUUCACAAUAAUUAUUACUUAUAUAAAAUGUUCUUCAUAAAAUAUACACUUGAUUCAACAAGAACGGAUUAUACCAAAAAAUAUGGCAAUAAACUAUUUUGUACCAAAAAAGCCACAGUAGAAUAGCGGAUUGUACCAAGAAGCUUUAAAACAACGAGGAUGAUCAUCAUUUGAUAAAGGAUAUGUUAUAAGAAUAGGUUGGCAUGGCCCACGUCUAAGAUAGGCACGGCGAAUUUCAUCUCUUUGAUUUACAGGAAAGUCCCAAAUCAUCGGUCGCAAUCCUGGAUCUACUUCAAUUUGAGAACAACUCAUUUCUUUCUUCAUGACGAAGUCUUUGGUGUUUUGGCUCAGAUUGUUCUUGUUCUUGAGGUGAAACAUUGAGGUUGGAUGCUUUAAUUGGAGAGGAACUACUUGCAGCAUUUGUAUCCACUCUUUUAAAGAAUGUGUCAAUAGUUUUCAUUUUACUCAUACCUAAAAUAAUAAAUCAAAUAAACAUAAGAAUUUUUGUUGUUUAAGUCAAAUGUUACAAAAAAAAAAAAAAAAAAAAAAAGAACUAGAACUAUACGGUAUUAUUGUUAACCUAAUUUGUUUUUCCUAACCCAAAACUAAUUUUUUAUGAAAUUGCUUAACUAAAACAUAAAAAGGUACAAAAAUAUAGUAACCAUAAAAACUAACCAAAGUUUUAACAGCUUGUAGUGCUAUCUCAUAUCAUAUAUGCUAAAUUCUAAAGCAAAACAUUAAAAAUUGGUUUCAAAUUAAAUAAGAUUAUUGUGAAUUGAGAUCAAUCGAAUCUAAUUAUGUUGCUUGAUGUUAGUUGUUGAUGUUUAGGUCACCAUGUCGUUUGUGGCUCUUCUCUUCCAUUCCAUGUAUUGUGUAACUGUAUUGUGAUUGUGAAAAGUGAAAAGUGAAAAGUGAAAAGUUAAAAAGUCAUCCUUGUUUUAUUAAUUGUGUGGUGCUGGUGGGCUGAGAGUUUGUGGGUCUACAAUUGUAUUACUUUAUUUGUUAAAUAAAUCAAAUAUUGUUAUUAUUUAUUAUUUAUCUUUUUUUGGUGUUAAUCUUUCGGUUCCUAUACGACAUUAUCAAAUAUUUGAAGUUCGAUCGGAAGUUAAAUAAAAAUAGAAAAAAUUAUUUCACUUAAAAUUAAACUUGGGGUAGCUAAAUAUAUAUUAUUAGAGGAUAGCUAAAUAUAAAAAUAUACCUACUCGCUCAAAUUUUUUUUUUUUUUUUUUGGGUAGCAAGGGCUACCCCUCCCUUGUUCUACCAUCCGCCCCUGUUUUUAGUGUCUUUUACAUUAAGGUAAGUAUUACUUUUGUCUCUCGAUAAAUUUCCACCAGCUUUGGACCUCUAUUUUUUUUUUUUUGGAACUAUAGUAUAGAACGAACAUAUCUUUAAUUACGUAACAUUGCAAGCUUUUGAUGAGAUAAAUGACCUAAGUAAUAUAAAUAAAUAAGAUAAAAAAAGAACUCUCGUAUGUUUUUGCCAAAUAUGUAUGAUGAAUGUGAGAUCUAACAAACUCAAUUACCUAAUAUACAUUUUUAGGCUACUUUUUUUAUUGCAUCCACAUAUAUCAUCGCAAAAAAGCUCGAGAAAAUUACAUGUUAGAAAUUCAAGUGACUAGCAUAUUAGAUGAAAGUAGACAUGUUGGUCACCACAUAAGGGAAGAAGAGAAGUGUCAACACUAUUAUCUUUUCAACAUUCUCUUUACACUUAGUUUUUUAUUGAAUGAAAUUCAUAUAUAGAUCAUACCAUUUUACAUGGUACCCAUCUAUAAAGUGUGGGACAAACAUGAAUUUCACUUAAUUAAAGAAUGGAUGUUAGAGACAGUGUUACUAGUACUUCUUAAAUGAAUAAAUUUAUAUACCUAAUGUUAUCAUGAUUUUUAUAAAAAUGUAAUGUCCAAAUUAUUUGUUUGGUUGCUCAAACCCUAAUAUGCAAGCCUUCCAAUUCUUAAGCUCCCUUGUGAAUAUAACAGUGGUAUAUAUCAAAGUCAUUGUUCAACUUAAGGGAAGGAGAAAAAGUAGUUUCAUGUAUUACAAUAUGAUUCAGCUCAAGUUUUCAUUGUGCCUCCAGCUGAGGUAUCCAAUAUCACCCUAGUCGAGCUGUCAGCCCUAGAGUGAAGAUAUUCAUAUGAUUCAGCUCAUUAAUACCAUUCUCAAACACCUUUUAAGCAACAAUUUAAAUUAUUAUGAUACAUCAUAAAGAGACUCUGCAUCACCUUGCCCACAAGAAACUUCUCUUCUAGAUCUUCCCAAGUUUGGACACUGCCACUUGGAAGAGCCAACAACCAGUCUUUUGCUCAUCCUAUUAUAGACAUAUCUUCCGUGAUUCCUUAUGGAAAGCAGUGUUGACAAAUUUAAUAGAACUUGCUCAAAUUAAAAUCGGAGUUGCCUUGUUAAAAUUAAUAAAUAGCCACUGACAACGGCUUCAAAAACUUGAUUGUCGAUUUAACAAUUGUACUAAAUUGUCAGUGUGUAAUAAUAUUGAUAAAUUUGUCUCAACAGGGAUUGUGAAAUUUCUAUCUGACAACAACAAUUAUAAUUAGGAUGUAUAAAUUUGAGGGUUACGCUUGGAAAUAUUUGAUUAGCAAUUAACGAGAUAAAAACUGAUAAAAAGAGUGAUUAGAUUUUGUUCAAUUCGGCCCUCUAUUUCUACUUGAUAACCAUGUCCAAAGCCUAGAAUUGCCUACAUAAUUUCACCAUAUUUGAACAAACUAGCUAUGACCAAUGUCUUGGACCAUAACUCUCUUCACUAAUUACAACCCCCUAAAGUCUUUGGUGAUUUCGUAAUCAUUAAAGGUUUGAUUGCACAUUAAAAAAUUGUCAGAAAUAUGAUAAUAGAAUAUUUAUAAAGCUAAUAGAGAUUGAACAAUUAAUAUUAAGUCAAGUUUCAAAAACUAGGAUUAAUAGUCAUUCAAAAUCUAGAUCGAUUCAUAAAAAUUUAUAAACGCAUAAAAAGUGUUAUGAGCAAAUAUUAACUAAAUAAAACUAAGCAAUUCAAUUGUAUUCUAAGGUACACAAUUGAUUACAUACUUGAAGUAACUACAGAGAAGGUCCUCUAUAUGACCUAACCUUGAAAACUAACUGCUCAUGAUAACUAAACAUAAACAAAAGUAUAUGAAAAGCAAUACAUAAGUAUAGGAUCAUUGUAUGAUGGUUCCACCCCUCCGAGAUGUUUUCGGUUUCGCCUAGCCUUCAAGAAUAGUGUUCUCCAACUUCCAGGUCGUAAAAAGUCUCCUUUUCAAAGAGAAAGAGUGUGGUUUUUAAUUAAUCCGUGUUUCCCUAAUUUUCAAGAAACGGUCGUGCGGGACGCGCAUGGCGUUGCGCGCAUCACACAUGAGACAACGACGAGACACUUUUGUUUUCUUCCUAGUAGCACGAUGCACAACUCUUAGUGUGCAUUGAAUGACCCAAUAGGUAACUCUUUUGCAUUCUUUCUUCAUUGUCUCAUUUCUCCUUACUGAAAUAUUUGUAGUGUCUAUACUCCAAAAGGUUACUUGAUACAUCUUAUAAACAAAGUCGUCUGAUUUGUGCGAUUUGUCAUGGUCCCUAAGUCUUGUGGGCACUUUUAUUCAUUCCAUGAUCCUUCCUUUGAUUUAUUACAAAACUCAAUUAAAACAUAUAAACAUUUGCUAAAAUAACUAUAAAAUGACUCCUGACAUAUGUUAAAUAUAUAUCAUGGCAGUCUGUCAUCACAAAUCCAAACACAAAUCCUAUAUCUUUUAAAAGAAAGUAAAAACCUCAAUUUAUGGAUUAAAUGUGAAGACAUAAAAUUAUCAAAAGAAGGAAAUAGUUUAUAAUAACUGGACCGAUGUUUUUGGUACAUCAAUAAUAAAUGUGAUACGACUAAAGGCUAAUUAAUCUAGUAGGAAGAAUAUGUAACUUGGACAACUUGCAAUUUGCACCUUGUGAACAACAAUAAUACAAGUUUCUAUUUAAAAAUAAUGUUAAAUUUUUCUAGGAGGUUCUCUUUAAUUGACUUGUUAUGUUAAUAGAUACCACUUAAACCCCUUGCCACUAAACUAAUCCCCUUGUAUGAAACUAUACUUGCAUAUUCUGAUGUACGCACACGUAGUAACAGAAAGUCUAAUACACGUUAAAUAAAAGAGAGGGAAAGUCCAAUAAAGCAAUAUGUCACUAAAGUUAUUUUAUUAAGAUGUCACUAAAUAUAGGUUGACAUUCGUAAAGUCAAGACAAUGAACUAUAUUAAAUAAUGGUAAUAGAAAAGCACACUCCUUUCCUUCAUCACCUAUGGACAUCAUGGUUAUUAAAAAUAGGAAAAUGUUACAUAGACACCUUUUAAUUGCAUACACCUUUGUACACCCUAUGUAUUAGGAAGAGAGAAGAAAAGAAGAAAGAGAAAGUGUACUUAUGCGGGGUUCAUAUGACCACAUAUCAGAUUUUUGUGUGGGUGUCAAGGGAUGUAUUGCCACUUAAGGGUGUUUAUGUAUCAUAACUCUUAAAAAUAUACUACCACUCAAGCAUGCUAAUGAAUCAUUCCAACUUUACGCCACACAAGAAUAUAUUAGUUUAAUUUAAUCUCAUCCAACAAGUGAUCAAUACCAAGUAUAUAAAUAUGUAGACAUAUUUGCAUAAGCUUUAUAUAAAUCAAAAUGCAAAGAUAUACAGAAGAAUUAAUACUGAAUGAGAUAGGAGAGAUGAAACAAAGUAACAAAGGGCAUGUUCCAGUGCUAGUAGGCAAAAAGGAAGAAGAAGAAGAAGAAGAUAUGGAGAGGAUUUGGGUGAGCAUCAAAGUGAUUCACCAUCCCAAAAUUGUUGAAUUGUUGGAACAAUCUGCUAAAGAAUAUGGAUACCAACAGGGUGUGCUUAGAAUCAGACGUGAUAUUGAGAUCUUCAAAGUCAUUCUUGCUAACAUAUCUUGCACUUCACGGGUUGCUUUGUCUAAUUAAUUGUCUUUGUUAUUAGUAUUAAACUCAAUGUAACAUUAUUAUUUUCAUUCAAAUCCCCUUUUUAUUCACCAAACUCUCUGUAAUAAUAUAUAGUCUAUCUUUUUAGUCUUAAUAACUAUUACUUUUUGUCUCUCAAAUAAAUUUUCGUCAGCUUUCGACCUCUAUUUUUUUGGGGUAUGUAGAAUGGAAUAUGUGUUUUGGUUAGACAUAAUUUAACAUGUUAAUAGUCUCGUGACUUUGGUCAGUAGAAAUCUGUGAAGCCCGGAUACGAGAUACGAUACGGAUACGAUACUGCACCGAUACGUCGAUACGGAAAAAUUUCAAAAAUCAAGAUACG